rnacentral:rRNA from 1 species
UACGGAGGGUGCGAGCGUUGUCCGGAAUCAUUGGGCGUAAAGGGCGCGUAGGUGGCGGCGUCAGCGUGCGGUGAAAGCUCGGGGCUCAACCCCGGGUCGGCCGUGCGAACGGGGAGGCUUGAGUCUGGUAGAGGUCGAUGGAAUUCCGGGUGUAGCGGUGGAAUGCGUAGAGAUCCGGAAGAACACCGGUGGCGAAGGCGGUCGACUGGGCCAGUACUGACGCUGAGGCGCGACAGCGUGGGGAGCAAACAGG